rnacentral:rRNA from 1 species
UACGUAGGGUGCGAGCGUUGUCCGGAAUUAUUGGGCGUAAAGAGCUCGUAGGCGGUUUGUCGCGUCGGCCGUGAAAACUUGGGGCUUAACUCCAAGCUUGCGGUCGAUACGGGCAGACUUGAGUUCGGCAGGGGAGACUGGAAUUCCUGGUGUAGCGGUGAAAUGCGCAGAUAUCAGGAGGAACACCGGUGGCGAAGGCGGGUCUCUGGGCCGAUACUGACGCUGAGGAGCGAAAGCCAGGGGAGCAAACGGG